GGAGGAGUGGCAGAGUGGUCGAAUGCGGCGGUCUUGAAAACCGUUGGGCGUUUACGCGUCCCGGGGGUUCGAAUCCCUCCUCCUCCGCCA
rnacentral:tRNA from 2 species